GCCGGCCGCCGAGCACUUCCGGGUGAGCCCGCUGGCAACUGGGGCGUCGUGCCCGCUGAAGCUAGGGCGGUUUGGUUGGUCCCCGACUUCCACUGGGCGGGUAUGGUAACCGAAUUUCUUAGUGUCUGAGAAGAUGCUGUGGGUUCAGUUGGAAAGUUGCCUCAGGUGGCUGUGUUAAACAUUUUAUUUUAAUUUCUAGUCUAAUUCUAGGAAGAAAGGGUCCUCAAGUCACUCCCCGAGAGUCAGAGACUGGCAUGAACCCCCUGAUGUUGCGGGGUCGGUGAGCCGAGGAGUGGAAAGAAAGAUUUUCUUGGACUCUCAAGCUGGAGGGAUGAGUUGGUCCAGAGAUGCUCGUGGCGGAGUGAGUGCCCACUGGACCGUGUUGGUGACCUCCUUUUGGACCUGCCUGCCAAUUUCGGCCUUUGAGCGGCCGUUUUCAAGAAAUUAAUUUUAAAAAUGUAAUUGACGCAUUAAAGGAAGGAAAAAGAAGAGGCCCAGGAGACUCAUGAUGUAAUGUUUAGAAAAGAACAGGAGAAAAUGUCUGGAGAGAAAAAGAGCCAAUCCUAGGCCUGUGUGUGGAAACAGCUAGAGAGAUGGGACUUAACAGAAACCAGUAGAAGAAAAACAAACAUAUAAAAGCCUGCGAUGACAUUUUUAGCUUUUCUAUGGGAAGAAAUAGAUAUAAAAUUGAUGGUAUUACUAUUUAUUAUUAUUGCAUUUUGCUUUUGAAGGAGAAGUGACUGUAUGGUUAUCAAAAUCCAUCAGAAAGUAAAAAAUAAAAAUGGCUAUGCACCCUGUGCAGGUUACACACAAUUUUGCUUAUGAUGAAGACAUCCAAUGAAGAUCCCUCCAGUACAUAGUUGUAUAUUUUAGUGGUGGGUCCUUCUAGUUGUGGCAUGUGGGAUGCUGCCUCAGCGUGGCCUGAUGAGCGGUGCCGUGUCUGUGCCCAGGAUCUGACUGGUGAAACUCUGGGCUGCCGAAGCGGAGCAUGCAGACUUAACCACUCAGCCACGGGGCCGGCCCCAGUUUGUGUAUUUUAAUGAUUUACCAUUAAAAGGACCAGUUUACAAGAAGAAAAUUAACACCAGCACAGAUGGAUUAAUUUUACCCCUUAAAUAGGGUUUUUUUUUUGCCAUAUGGAUAAUCAUGCACAAACAGCAUCUUUUUCUUCAGUCUGUAAUAGUUCUACCAAAAGGGAAGUCUUAACAGGAACAAUAUGUAUUAAUAAAGAACACAAACACAGAAUUACUAAAUAUUUUGAUUUACAUUCUUGGCUCCACAUUGCUGCAUUGGGAGAGCAUUUAUUAUCUGAGACUAUCCCUCUGUUCUGAGGGAAUAAGAAAUAGUAUACCUAAGGAUGGCUCUCUUUGUAGCCAGGAAAAGGUAGAUUACCAUUCUAG
rnacentral:lncRNA from 1 species